AGCCUCUCCCUCUCCUUCCUGACCCCUAAUUUCUCUCCCUCUCAAUCUGCCUGGCGGCAGAUAGCCGGCAGCAGCAUAGGCUACCUGGACUAGCGGCGGCGAACAGGAAGCAGUGCCACGACGACAAGGUCAAGAACUCCAGCGGCCACCUCCCCCACCGCAGGGAAAAGGAGAUCAAGCGGAUAUGGAUCCCCUUUUCCUCGCCUCAGCGUCAGCCAGGAGAAGGACGGCCUGUAUCUCCAGAUGUCCCGCCUCAACGUCAUGGAGGCCGGCCUGCUGUGAUGCCGCUCUCCUUCCGUGUCGGGGACGACGCAUGCCGUGGCUACAGGUCAUCACCUCACGCGCCUCUCUGCCCCACACCGCCACCGGCUCUUGUUCUGACUCCUCUGUUGCGCCGCCUCCUCUGCGCCAGCACCGGGCAUCAUCUUCUUUCCCACUGUGGUCGCCUCAGCAGUAGCUGCAACCGGAGGUCGUCGAGGGGGGAGGCGAACGAACAAGCAAGGCUACCGCCUCGAGAUAUACUAUGGGGUUCUCGCCCGCCUACGCGUCGACGCCGCCAUCCCGGCGGAGCUAUUGCUGGUCUUCUAGGACAUGCUCUGGGGUACUUUCGCCACCGCUCGGUACACACUGGAUGUGAACGUGGUGAGUGCAGAGGACGUGGUGACGCACCACCAGCUGCUCGAGGUCGAAAAAGGAGAAGAAUAGGUUAGUGUGGUUCCAGUAAUAUUCAACCUUUUGUCAUGAAUAUAUUGAUGGGAUGUUAUCUAGAACCUUUGCAGUAUGAGGUGCAUCACUAACCUCUGAAGCAUAGCUUGUUUCGGUUAUAUAUGACUUGAAGAUCUGACUAGCCCGCCGUCCAUCACACACCAAGAGGUCUCAUGAACAACCUAUGUCCCCUCUGUGUUAUGCAAGUUAUAUGGAGCUCAUUGCAAAAUUAAAGCGUCCUUACAUUGUGGAAUAGAAAUACUCUUGGGUGGAGAAGUGAUCCAGUUGAAGGAUUUGUAUGAUCCUGAAUGAAUUCUUUUGUUGGUGUUAUCAGGGUGCUAUGUGUGCUUUUGUGACCGGCUACUACAGGGGAGGAGACAUCUAUGUAGCUUGUGAAGUAAGCUCUCAGUUGUAUUUGAACCGUAAUGAAAUUGUGGUUAUUUUUGCUUCAUUGUAUAGAUUAGAGGCCAUUAAAAGGUCUAACGCCCAACCACUUCCUAGAAGAGGUGGUUAGUUUGUCUGUAAUAUGUGAUGUUCCUGCAAUUUCUGAUUAUUGAAAACUUUGACUCCUUGUUGUGUCCACUUUCUGCGAGCAGAAACUCUGUGUAUGCUUUGUGCAGCUCCUAAUAGAACUUGACUACUUGCAUGCUAAUCAUGUCCUUCGCUAUGUGAAGGUUGCUAUACCCAUAACCUUUAUUUGUAUCCUACUGAAAAAGCAGUUUAGCAGCCGGUUAAUCACCAUGUAUUGUAUUGUAUUGUACUGUUUUCGAUGUUUAAAUAUAUUUCUUAUUUCUUACAAAGGACAAAAAUAUAUUGCUUGGUAAGUAUGCUCUGUAAUAUCAAUGAGAAAAAUACAUGGACUAUGAACUACUUAAAAUUGCUGAUGACAAUAUCUUCUGUUUGGAAUUUUGUUGUCUGAAAUAGAUGAUUCUGCGCUGGUUAAAUUUUGGCUUUAUGCUCUUCUUGCUCUACUCUUAGGUGUUUUUCGUUCUAAGUUUAGGAACUCCCGGUUAAAUGUUGCCUUGAACUUCUUGUGGAUAUUUCAUAUGGUUCCAAGUCCAAAAUAUGGUCGCUAGGUAGGUAUUCCUUUCUAAUAUUCAGUUGUGUGUCUUAUGACUCUUAUCUCAGUGUCGAACUGUUAUAAUGGCUAAAUAUCUGCAAUCUUCAGGCUACUAGAUCUUUGAUAUGGCUGCACUGAAGCUUGCAUUCAAAGUAUUUGUAAGUAACUAUGCUGGCAUGCUCUUUUAGUUAUAGCUCCUUGUCAACUUACUAGAUUUUACCCAGUUUGAGUUUGGCAGCUCCUUCAAAGCAAAUGGCUUGUAAGAAUUACUUAUGUAACCUCAUUUAGUUUCUAUUCACAUGAUGCUGCUUGUAAUACCUUGGUCGUCUACAUUACUCCUGCCAUGGCAAUAUAUUGCAUUUUGUGAGAUUUCAUUGUGGAAUAAACAUAAAUCGAUUCUAAUGCCAUUCUCCAUGAAACCC